GAAGAUCCGCAAGACUUUCGUGCAGAGGAACAUGUUUGAGUUCAAGCACAUCAAGGCCUUCGACCGGGCUUUUGCCGACAACCCAGGACCGAUGGUUGUGUUUGCCACGCCAGGAAUGCUGCACGCUGGGCAGUCCCUGCAGAUCUUCCGGAAAUGGGCCGGAAAUGAAAAGAACAUGGUCAUCAUGCCCGGCUACUGCGUGCAGGGCACCGUCGGCCACAAGAUCCUCAGCGGUCAGCGGAAGCUCGAGAUGGAGGGGCGGCAGGUGCUGGAGGUCAAGAUGCAGGUGGAGUACAUGUCAUUCAGUGCACACGCAGACGCCAAGGGCAUCAUGCAGCUGGUGGGCCAGGCAGAGCCGGAGAGCGUGCUGUUGGUGCAUGGCGAGGCCAAGAAGAUGGAGUUCCUGAAGCAGAAGAUCGAGCAGGAGCUCCGGGUCAGCUGCUACAUGCCGGCCAAUGGUGAGACGGUGACGCUGCCCACAAGCCCCAGCAUCCCCGUAGGCAUCUCGCUGGGGCUGCUGAAGCGGGAGAUGGCGCAGGGGCUGCUCCCUGAGGCCAAGAAGCCUCGGCUCCUGCACGGCACCCUGAUCAUGAAGGACAGUGUGAGUGCCAGGACGGCCUCUGGAGGGGGGAGGGCUGCUGCUGCGCUCCCUGACCUGUCCCUGCCCCACAGAACUUCCGGCUGGUGUCCUCAGAGCAAGCCCUCAAAGAGCUGGGUCUGGCUGAGCACCAGCUGCGCUUCACCUGCCGCGUGCACCUGCAUGACACGCGCAAGGAGCAGGAGACGGCGUUGCGCGUCUAUAGCCACCUCAAGAGGUGGGCACCCGGCCCCACCCCCCCCACUCCCUUGGGCCCUGGGGGCCAGGCAGGGUCUCACUGAGCCUCCCCACAGCAUCCUGAAGGACCACUGUGUGCAGCACCUCCCAGACGGCUCUGUGACUGUGGAGUCCAUCCUCAUCC
rnacentral:sRNA from 1 species